UUUAUGGAGAGUUUGAUCCUGGCUCAGAGUGAACGCUGGCGGCGUGCCUAAUACAUGCAAGUCGAACGAUGAAGCUUCUAGCUUGCUAGAAGUGGAUUAGUGGCGCACGGGUGAGUAACGCAUAGGUUAUGUGCCUCUUAGUUUGGGAUAGCCAUUGGAAACGAUGAUUAAUACCAGAUACUCCCUACGGGGGAAAGAUUUAUCGCUAAGAGAUCAGCCUAUGUCCUAUCAGCUUGUUGGUAAGGUAAUGGCUUACCAAGGCUAUGACGGGUAUCCGGCCUGAGAGGGUGAACGGACACACUGGAACUGAGACACGGUCCAGACUCCUACGGGAGGCAGCAGUAGGGAAUAUUGCUCAAUGGGGGAAACCCUGAAGCAGCAACGCCGCGUGGAGGAUGAAGGUUUUAGGAUUGUAAACUCCUUUUGUUAGAGAAGAUAAUGACGGUAUCUAACGAAUAAGCACCGGCUAACUCCGUGCCAGCAGCCGCGGUAAUACGGAGGGUGCAAGCGUUACUCGGAAUCACUGGGCGUAAAGAGCGCGUAGGCGGGAUAGUCAGUCAGGUGUGAAAUCCUAUGGCUUAACCAUAGAACUGCAUUUGAAACUACUAUUCUAGAGUGUGGGAGAGGUAGGUGGAAUUCUUGGUGUAGGGGUAAAAUCCGUAGAGAUCAAGAGGAAUACUCAUUGCGAAGGCGACCUGCUGGAACAUUACUGACGCUGAUUGCGCGAAAGCGUGGGGAGCAAACAGGAUUAGAUACCCUGGUAGUCCACGCCCUAAACGAUGGAUGCUAGUUGUUGGAGGGCUUAGUCUCUCCAGUAAUGCAGCUAACGCAUUAAGCAUCCCGCCUGGGGAGUACGGUCGCAAGAUUAAAACUCAAAGGAAUAGACGGGGACCCGCACAAGCGGUGGAGCAUGUGGUUUAAUUCGAAGAUACACGAAGAACCUUACCUAGGCUUGACAUUGAGAGAAUCCGCUAGAAAUAGUGGAGUGUCUAGCUUGCUAGACCUUGAAAACAGGUGCUGCACGGCUGUCGUCAGCUCGUGUCGUGAGAUGUUGGGUUAAGUCCCGCAACGAGCGCAACCCCCUUUCUUAGUUGCUAACAGGUCAUGCUGAGAACUCUAAGGAUACUGCCUCCGUAAGGAGGAGGAAGGUGGGGACGACGUCAAGUCAUCAUGGCCCUUACGCCUAGGGCUACACACGUGCUACAAUGGGGUGCACAAAGAGAAGCAAUACUGCGAAGUGGAGCCAAUCUUCAAAACGCCUCUCAGUUCGGAUUGUAGGCUGCAACUCGCCUGCAUGAAGCUGGAAUCGCUAGUAAUCGCAAAUCAGCCAUGUUGCGGUGAAUACGUUCCCGGGUCUUGUACUCACCGCCCGUCACACCAUGGGAGUUGUGUUUGCCUUAAGUCAGGAUGCUAAAUUGGCUACUGCCCACGGCACACACAGCGACUGGGGUGAAGUCGUAACAAGGUAACCGUAGGUGAACCUGCGGUUGGAUCACCUCCUUUCUAGA
rnacentral:rRNA from 1 species